rnacentral:rRNA from 1 species
CAGCCGCCGCGGUAAGACAGAGGAUGCAAGCGUUAUCCGGAAUGAUUGGGCGUAAAGCGUCUGUAGGUGGCUUUUCAAGUCCGCCGUCAAAUCCCAGGGCUCAACCCUGGACAGGCGGUGGAAACUACCAAGCUGGAGUACGGUAGGGGCAGAGGGAAUUUCCAGUGGAGCGGUGAAAUGCGUUGAGAUCGAAAAGAACACCAACAGCGAAAGCACUCUGCUGGGCCGACACUGACACUGAGAGACGAAAGCUAGGGGAGCAAAUGGGAUUAGAGACCCCUGUAGUCCCUGUCUCUUAUAC